GUUUUAACUGCCCCUACAAUUUGUACAUGCACAUAAGAAGAAAGACUUCUCAGCAGGUCACUGUGAGGGAGAGAAAUAAUGGCAAUAUGCUACAUGGAUAGUCUUUGUAUUCUGGAACCAGUGAGGGAUGAGUCUGGCAACUAGGAAUAGCCUGAGCUUGUGUUCAGCUAUAUUACAUGUCCUCCCAAAAUAAUGAAUAAUAGGAGUUUCAGCUAGUGUAGAGCCACACUGGUGUUUUUAGAGUACUGUUAGAAACAUAAUUUGUAAAAGUUAUGAUGUAUUUGUAAGCUAUGAUGUCUUGCAGCUUUUUACAACAGAACUGCUAGAGAUAAAACCAGAAUCUAAGACCUUGUUUUUAAUAGGUAAAAUUUCCUAAGAAGGUGAAAGUAGCACACAGCACUUUCCUUGUCAUAAUGAAAGGCUUUGUGAA